AUCUCAACCGUUAGAUCAGAUCGCUUCCCCACCCUAUCAAAUGAUACGAAGGUCGCAUCCUUCUCAAUCUCUCCACGAACAUUAGGGUUUUGCUUGCUGAGAAGCUCCUAGACGCUCAAGUUGUCGAAAAUAUGGCGGCCCAAAUCAGUAAGAAGCGCAAGUUUGUUGCAGAUGGUGUUUUCUAUGCGGAGCUAAAUGAGGUGUUAACCAGAGAGCUGGCUGAGGAUGGCUACUCUGGGGUUGAAGUUAGGGUUACUCCAAUGCGUACUGAGAUCAUCAUUAGGGCUACUCGUACUCAGAAUGUACUUGGUGAGAAGGGAAGAAGGAUCAGGGAACUGACAUCUGUUGUUCAGAAACGAUUCAAGUUUCCAGAGAACAGUGUGGAACUCUAUGCUGAGAAAGUUAACAAUAGGGGCCUCUGUGCUGUUGCACAAGCCGAGUCUCUACGUUACAAGCUCCUUGGAGGCCUUGCCGUUCGAAGGGCUUGCUAUGGUGUAUUGAGAUUUAUAAUGGAGAGUGGGGCGAAGGGAUGUGAGGUUAUUGUGAGUGGAAAGCUCCGAGCUCAGCGCGCCAAGUCCAUGAAAUUCAAGGAUGGGUACAUGAUAUCAUCUGGUCAACCUGUUAAGGAGUAUAUUGACUCUGCUGUCAGGCAUGUUCUUCUAAGACAGGGUGUGCUCGGUAUCAAGGUAAAGAUCAUGCUUGAUUGGGAUCCUAAAGGCAAGGUGGGUCCAAUGACGCCAUUGCCUGAUCUGGUCACCAUCCAUCCUCCCAAGGAAGAAGAAGAGUACAUUCCGCCACCAGUGCUGACAGCCAAUAUCGAGAUUCCAGUUGCAUAAACACUGAACUUCUCCAAACAAGUAUCACAGGUUUCUUAUAAAUGUUUUAGGAGGGAGAGAGACUAGAAUGCUACAAUGAAUCAAGAUUCAAGAGAAAUCCUACGUCUGGAUUUGGAUGUGCCACUGCUUCAAAAAUUUAUUACCAUCGAGCGCUACUUUUAGGUAUCAGAUUAAUUUCCUUUUUAAGAUGGUUAUGGAGGCAUUUGUUAAUGGCAGGGUGGUGUCAAAGAUAUGGAGAGAAUGUGUACUAGUCUAGUUUGAAUCAAAUCAAACCGAUAUAUUUUGGUUUA